CCCUAGCCUACCUGGAGGCUGUGGAGACUGACCUGGCAGAGACCAACCCCACUGCUUUCGCCCUCAAACUACAGGAGGAACUGGUUCUAGCUGCUCUGAGGAUAGAGGCUCUUCAGGUAGCCAAAUACAUCUCAGACAGCCCCUCCCUCUCCACUGUCACCCCCCAGCAGAGAGACAGAGAAGUGAUGUCAUCAACACUGGACAGGGACUGCGCAGAUACCAGAGUUCUCUCUACAC